CCGCAGCCCGAGUGGUGGUCACUAUUAUUGAGCCUAAAGCGUCCGUAGCCUGGUGGAUAAAUCCUUGGGAAAAUCGAGCGGCUCAACCGUUCGAAGUCCGGGGAGACUGUCCAUCUUGAAACCGGGAGAGGUCAGAGGUACUUUGGGGGUAGGGGUAAUAUCCUGUAAUCCUCAAAGGACCACCAGUGGCGAAGGCGUCUGACUUGAACGGAUUUGACGGUGAGGGACGAAGCCCAGGGGCGCAAACGGGAUUAGAUACCCGAGUAGUCC
rnacentral:rRNA from 1 species